GUCGGCGCCGCGCGGGGCUGCUCCCGCCGCGCUCAGCCCUCAGCCACGAGGCUUGCACUGGCUCUGCUACCUCCCGCUCUGGUCCACUUCGUCUUUACUUUUCCAGAGUACGUGGUACUGCUUUGUUUCUGGCUAGAGUUGGUGCAGGAGGAAGGGGCUGCCAUCCUGUGCGCUGAGCAGAUGCGUGGGACGAGCUGUGCGGUGGAGCCAGGUGCUUCUGGCCAGCCUGCGACUGGAGGAGCAGGGAAGGAGUUGUCAUUUGAGCACCAAGAAAUAUGUUGUCCAGCCAGCGAGCAGCAGCGCUCCCACCAGCACGGUGUAGCUGAACAGCACAAAUGCCAGCAGCUCCCGCAGCACCUUGAGGAAGUGGAUGGCAAAGGAGUCCGGCAUCGUUCCCCACAGCACUGCGGUGCAGGUUCCCUACCAGCAAAAACUACCUUUUUUCAUGCAAAGACAAAUGACUUUACCAGCUGCCAGCAAACAGGGAGCUCUACGUAAACGCAGUCGGAGAUGGGGGACAUUUCCCCUCACGGAGAAGCCUGCCAUUCACUGCACCUGGCUGAAACAGUGUCCCAGGUUUGGAGCAACAGUCAGAUGAAGCACAGUGCAGACUUCAGCUCUCAGAACAGCCUGGAGGUCUGUAUUUCAUGUGGGCUACAUGCCUCUUGUUGCAACUCAGAAUAUAAAUAAAUUGACGCAUGUGAAGAAUUUAAGCGGGCAAGUGCAGGCAGGAGAGUGAUAAUGAGAAGCCUGCAAUUUAAGAAGUCUUCUCCUGCCAAUAUAGUGCUGUUUCAUUAUCACCUAUUACCUCUGACAAUUUCUUUUUUUUUCCUCUCGUUAAAAUAAAUAAGUAAAUUAAAAGGCAACAGUAUGAAUAUUCCAUCUCUAGCACCAUCAGCACUAAUACUGCAGUAAGUGACAUCUUGUAGGAGAUGAGGCUAAGCAUACGCUAUUUCAGUUAAGGUACUACUCUCCCUUAAAGGUGGCAGAAAUGAAGAAGCAAAGUCAAAAUACAAGAAAUACAAACAGUGUAACCACUUCUCUGCAGAAUCGCUGUGAAGUCUGAAAGCACAGAUAGGGGAUCUCAGUCUC